rnacentral:lncRNA from 1 species
ACUGCUUUCCCCCUUCCAGGAGUUAGUUUUGGGGCAAUUAAGGUGAAGAGAAAAUGUUAACCAAGUUCGAAACCAAGAGUAAUCGAGUGAAGGGGUUGAGCUUUCAUAGCAAGCGACCAUGGAUCUUGGCCAGUCUUAUAGUGGUGUGAUCCAGCUAUGGGACUAUCGUAUGGGCACUCUCAUCGAUCGGUUUGACGAGCACGAUGGCCCCGUGCGUGGCGUCCAUUUCCAUAAAUCUCAACCUCUCUUUGUCUCCGAGGUAUUGGUUUUAUUCCCAUUUGUAUUUUAAUUGAGUAUUUGGGGAUCGAAAUAUGAUCUAUGUUUGGUUAAUUUUAGUUUGUACUUGGAUCUAAUUGACGAAUCAGCUCUUACUUAGUUUGGAAUUUACGAUUUAUGAUUCGGGAGUUUUUGUUUUUGAGCGGUAAAUGUUUGAUUUGUUCUAUUCGUUACGUGAUUGCAGUUUGUUUAUUUAGCCUUGUACUAAUGUAGAUUAGGGAGAUGGAUUUAAAUGUGGGUUGUCUUUCAAUUUUAAUGGAUUAUGAUUUCAACUGUGUGCAUCAGCAUUAGGGGAAUUGGAUAUGUCGGUUGCAUUUUGUUGUUUUCUGUUGUGAAUAAGCUAUAUUAUUUCCUUUCUAAUUAGUAGCGAUCUGAUGGGAUAGUUGCGAUGUGUGCCACUUUUUACAUGAUUUCAGUUUGUUUAUUUGGACUUGUAAAAAUUUGGAUUAGGGAGCUGGAUUGAAUGAGUUGUUUGUCUCUCAUUGUUAAAGUAUUCAACCCUAUGCAUCAGCAUUAGGGGAUUGACAUAUGUUGGUUGCAAUUUGUUGUUUUCCCUUGUAAAUAAGUGAUUUUUUCCUUUUGGGUUAGUGGUCAUCUGGUGGGACAGUUUAGAAAGCAAAGAUUGGAUCUGUUGUGCUAUUCUGGUUCUACUGUUGGACUUUCCAAAAGAGGUGGAUCCAAAUCCCCAAGCUCCAAUACAUAUUGAACAUCUGCUUUUGGUUUUCAGCAGGCCUUUGAGCUAAUGAACUUUUUCUGUUGUGGAAACUUGAUGAGGGUGAAGCUUGAUAUCCUCCUCAGUAAAGGAGGUUAUCCUCCCUUCCAUGUUGUUUUCCCAUUGUCAGGAAUCAUGAUACAGAACCUUUUUUUUUUUUCAGGAGAUGAUUAUAAGAUCAAGGUUUGGAAUUACAAGCUGCAUAGGUGUUUGUUUACCCUGCUUGGGCAUCUUGAUUACAUUCGUACUGUUCAAUUUCACACGAGUAUCCAUGGAUUGUUAGUGCAAGUGAUGAUCAAACAAUCAGAAUAUGGAACUGGCAGUCUCGAACUUGUAUCUCUGUCUUGACUGGGCACAACCACUAUGUGAUGUGUGCCUCAUUCCAUCCCAAGGAGGACUUAGUUGUGUCUGCUUCUUUGGAUCAGACCGUUCGAGUGUGGGAUAUUGGUGCCCUGA